rnacentral:misc_RNA from 1 species
AAUUUUUAAAUUUAAAAUGGAGGUGAGUAUUCAAUAAAAAAAUUUUAUUAGGUUGAAUUGGAAUUAUAAAUAACAUGAUUAAUGUUGUAUGUCAAAUCCUUAUAUUUAUCUUGGAUUUGAUUGAAAUCUAAAUUCACAAUUUUUAAACUUCCUAAAUAAGAAAUUUGAUGCAAAUCCAAAUUUGCAUAUUCAAAUCUAUGGAUCCAAACACAAUGUAAGAAGUUUUUUUUGUCAUUGAUAAAAAGAAAAUGACAUUAUAUUGAUAAUUUUUAAUCUAAUAGUGUUGGAAUCAUUUUUAGAAAUGUGACAUCUUGAAUUUGAAACAAAAAUAGAUAGAUUUUAGUUUCUUAGGAUCUUUAAUAUGAGUUACUUUAUCAUUCCUUGUAUCUUGGAAUUCCACAAUUAUCCUUCAACUCUUCAUUUUGUUUUAAAACUAAGUUGAAAUAUUAGUUUUAUUGUUGAAACUAAUAAUAUAAAUGUGUUAGAUUUAUAACUCAAAAUUCUAGUAGAAUUUGAGGAAAUAUCUUUUCUUACUUUAAGUGGGAUAUCUUUUCUAUAUAGAGUAAAACUCAUGUUAUCCCUAAACUCAUGUUAUUUCUAAAUUGAAUGAGAUUUCUUACUUAGAUUAUGAUUGUGGAAAAGUGGCUUAUUACUAUGCCAUAAAGAUUUUGACCUAAGAUGGAAAAGGGCAUAGUCAAAGAGAAAUGGGUUAUUUACUUCUAAUUUAAAGGUUCUCUUAAGUGUGAUUUGGUUAGAGGAUAGAUAACUUUGAACUUGUAAUUUAUGAUUUAUUUGAUGAUCGUAGAAGAUGGCAUGUUCCUGACAUAGCUCUAUGUUAAGAGGAUGAACUGACUGGGUGCCUAUUGAAGAAUGAGUUGGUGACUCAUAAGUAGUGGCUUGGUUAAGGAAACCCACUGGAGCUGGGUGGUCUAUCCAUGACUAGGAUGAAUCUUGAAUGAAAUUAAGUGGGAAGUCUGAACCGACUGGAUGUUUGGUUAGGGGUGAAUUGCCACUCGAACCCAAAGCUAGCUGAUUCUCUUAAAAUGCAUUGAUGCAUAGCAAUUGACUACACAUCUAGGCAAACUUUGAAUACUAUAUAUGAUCUCUAAAUAACAAGAGUCAAGAUUGGCUAGUGAGACGAUGGAGAUAAGCUUCAUCGUCGAGGAGAGGGAAACAAUCCCCAUAUGAAUUUUAUAAUUUUGUAUAUUUAUUUAUUUUUUUUUGUAGUUUACAAGCAUUCAUAGUCACAAAUCUGGUGUUGCUUGAGCUCUAAACCUUUUAGACAAAUGUGGCAGCUUUAAUAAAAAUUUUCAGUAGUAGUUGGCCCCGUCUUUUCUUCUUUUUCUUUCUUUCUCCUUGAAGUUGACGUAAUAAAAACUGUACCCCAAAAGCAACACCGCAAAAUAGUGAUAAUCCAUAAAUCGAUACCAAAACCUUCUGAAAAAAAUUAAAUAAACUAAUAAAUUCUAAGAGAACUUGCUGCAAAAUGACCGUAUAGUUCAGUCAUAGAUUCAUAUAAAGAAACUCGAUUACAGAAUGAAAACAGCAUGUGGAUUCAGCCGGAUAUAUUAUAUGGUAAGUGAAUAUUUGCUUGAUCAAUAAUUUGGUGAUGUGAUCUAUAUUGGCUUUUUCACUUUUUUGGUGUUAUGGCUCGGUUUAUCUCCCAAGUCUGAACUUGAAAACAUACUCUCACCCUUUGCCUUGGAAAGAAAAAGAGGCAGUCGGCUAAGAUUUGGGAUAUUGUCACUUCACAGGUCAAGUUUUCCAAUUUAAUGGUAAAUUUCUCAUCUGGAAAGAGCUAGCAUGGGAUAGUGUAUGGAGUUCUUCAACCACAUUUUUGUCAAUAGUGUGCCCAUGUCUAUUGUCAGUAGCUGAAGAUUUUGCUGCAGUCAAAGGAAGAAGAGGAUGAUGUAGAGCUGAAACUAGAGGCAAGUUGAAGCUCUUCAUUGCAUAUUGAUCUUGCUUGGAGCACGCCAUAGGUAUUAAGGACUCUUACCGCAUGUAAGAAAUUAAAGAAGGGUGGCCCUUGUAGCUCUCUGGAACAAAAACUUGGUGCUCCUAAUUGUUUGGUUUCUAUUUUAUCAUUUGCAUUCACUGCACAAAACAAAUUUAUAUUCCAUGGAAAUAAGUUGAAGGAUUCAUAUUCACUGCUCAUCAUGGAUAUAGGAUUUAGAUGAUGAUUUAGCAAGUCUGAAGCAAUCUUUUCAUGAAGCUUUUCUUUAAUUCAAAUUUUAUUGUAAUUUCCUGGUUGCUGUAAUCAAACAUGUGAAGUUUUUAUUGGAUGCUUUCGGAUACCCUUGAUAUAGUAAUAGUAACAGAUAAAUAUCUUACAAAACUAUGGCGUUUUAAGUGUAGAUGAUGCAUGUGAGACAAGUGUUACAAGUCUUUUAUGGCCUUGUUUUGAACAAUGUUAGUUUUUGUUACUAUAUUUUUCUGACUUUGGUUGCUUCGCACGAGAUCGUAUUUCUAUUGCAAUUUAGGGAUUUGAUGUGCCUUCAGCUCAUAAUGUUAGGAGACUCUUUCCCUGGAAGAUUUUAUACGCAAGCCUCGUUUUUCAGGUUGCUCCAUGGUUAAUGCAAUGUUACCUUUUCUCCUGAAAGGAGAGUCAGAACAGCUUCUGAUAUAUUGAACAUUUCGGAUACUGUGAAUAUAACUAUAUAUUUUCUGGUUUUGUUAGCCCAUUCUUGAACUUAGCAGUUGCAAUAAUAAAUAAAAAGAAUAUUAUAUAACGGAUUUCGAAUAUGCAAAACAUUAUCAGGCAAGAUUGCCCUUAAUUUUAUUUACAUUGCAUUUACUGCUGCUUUAUGCUUUUGUGCAACAAGGAUUAUUACUCUUUUGUUUGCAUGCAGAAACUAUCAAAGCACAAACCCCAUUGACAUUAAUUUUAUUGGGAAAAUUUUGAUGC